rnacentral:rRNA from 1 species
UACGGAGGAGGCAAGCGUUAUCCGGAAUUAUUGGGCGUAAAGCGUCCGCAGGUGGUUAAUCAAGUCUGCUGUCAAAGCGCGAGGCUCAACUUCGUAAAGGCAGUGGAAACUGAUUGACUUGAGUUUGGUAGGGGUAGAGGGAAUUCCCAGUGUAGCGGUGAAAUGCGUAGAUAUUGGGAAGAACACCGGUGGCGAAAGCGCUCUACUGGGCCUGAACUGACACUGAGGGACAAAAGCUAGGGGAGCGAAAGGG